GAAAUAUUUCAAAUUUAAGCUUCUAACUUAAAAUUUAGCAUUUAUGUUAAUAUUUCU
rnacentral:tRNA from 1 species